AAGCAAAGACCAGCGCUGCUCUAAGCUGGAAAGUAUUAGAAGCUUCCUGACUCUCUUUGACUCUUCACCUUCCCAAUUCCCAUUUCUCAGGGGGGAAAAACUUUGCACAUUUCCAUGUUCUCUUCUUGUCAUUGAUUCUCUCUCCUUUUCUACAACUCACACCACGUUCUCUCUCUACGCAACAGCAAAACUCAGGUGAACAAAAGGCAAGGUGAGAUCGCUUAAAUUGAACGCAAAAUGCAGAGAGUAACAGUGAUCGAGAGAUUUUCGAAAACUUUCCGUGAUAAUCCUUCGCUUUCUAAGCUGCUCAUUGUUUUCACCGUCAGUGGUGGAGGUCUUGUUGCAUACUCUGAGGCAGCAAAAUCAUAUGAGAAUCCUAAUGCUGGAGAGUUGGUUGAGGCCAAC